rnacentral:rRNA from 1 species
UACGUAGGCAGCAAGCGUUGUUCGGAAUUACUGGGCGUAAAGAGUGUGUAGGCGGUGUUCUAAGUUUGUCGUGAAAUCUCCCGGCUUAACUGGGAGGGUGCGCCGAAGACUGGAAGGCUUGAGUAUGGGAGAGGUAAGCGGAACUUCCUGGUGUAGCGGUGAAAUGCGUAGAUAUCAGGAGGAACACCUGCGGUGUAGACGGCUUACUGGGACCAUCACUGACGCUGAGGCACGAAAGCGUGGGUAGCAAACAGG